UACGAAGGGGGCUAGCGUUGUUCGGAGUUACUGGGCGUAAAGGGCGCGUAGGUGGUGGCUUAAGCGUGCGGUGAAAGCCCAGAGCUCAACUCCGGGUCGGCCGUCGAUACUUCCGGGCUUGAGCACUGUAGAGGCAGAUGGAAUUCCGGGUGUAGCGGUGGAAUGCGUAGAGAUCCGGAAGAACACCGGUGGCGAAGGCGGUCUGCUGGGCAGUUGCUGACGCUGAUGCGCGACAGCGUGGGGAGCAAACAGG
rnacentral:rRNA from 1 species